AGUGGCGGACGGGUGAGUAAUGUCUGGGAAACUGCCUGAUGGAGGGGGAUAACUACUGGAAACGGUAGCUAAUACCGCAUAACGUCGCAAGACCAAAGAGGGGGACCUUCGGGCCUCUUGCCAUCGGAUGUGCCCAGAUGGGAUUAGCUAGUAGGUGGGGUAACGGCUCACCUAGGCGACGAUCCCUAGCUGGUCUGAGAGGAUGACCAGCCACACUGGAACUGAGACACGGUCCAGACUCCUACGGGAGGCAGCAGUGGGGAAUAUUGCACAAUGGGCGCAAGCCUGAUGCAGCCAUGCCGCGUGUAUGAAGAAGGCCUUCGGGUUGUAAAGUACUUUCAGCGGGGAGGAAGGGAGUAAAGUUAAUACCUUUGCUCAUUGACGUUACCCGCAGAAGAAGCACCGGCUAACUCCGUGCCAGCAGCCGCGGUAAUACGGAGGGUACAAGCGUUAAUCGGAAUUACUGGGCGUAAAGCGCACGCAGGCGGUUUGUUAAGUCAGAUGUGAAAUCCCCGGGCUCAACCUGGGAACUGCAUCUGAUACUGGCAAGCUUGAGUCUCGUAGAGGGGGGUAGAAUUCCAGGUGUAGCGGUGAAAUGCGUAGAGAUCUGGAGGAAUACCGGUGGCGAAGGCGGCCCCCUGGACGAAGACUGACGCUCAGGUGCGAAAGCGUGGGGAGCAAACAGGAUUAGAUACCCUGGUAGUCCACGCCGUAAACGAUGUCGACUUGGAGG
rnacentral:rRNA from 1 species